rnacentral:tRNA from 1 species
AAAAAAGAAUUUAGUUAAAAAUAUAACAUUAAUUUGUCAAAUUAAAAUUAAAUAAAUUUAAUUCUUU